CUCCGCGCGCCUGCCCACGCGCUCCGGUACUCGCUGCUCGCGGCUGGCCGGCUCGGGAUUCCGGGCUUUCUUCCCGAGACCGCGUCCCCCAGCUGGGCCGAAGGUGGACGCUCAGGGGCUGGAGGCUCAGCGGAAUCCCCUGCGUUCAGUAGCCCCGCUCUCCCCUGUCCCGAAGGAUUACUCUGCCCCUCAGCGGUUCCAGUGCCCUCAAAGCAAUCUGUCUCUGAAGUACUGGCUAUCUUCUGAGCGUGUGCCAGAAGAUCCAGCUUUGUUGAAAAGCGAAGCCGUUAGUCCCUUAAUACAAAGGAGACAAAUUGAUUUAUGCCUGGGGCACCAUCACCAAAAGAAGAGGAAAUGGAUGCAAGCCUUCCCAGAACAACAGAAAGAGUCUCGCUCUGUUGCCAGGCUGAAGUGCUAUGGUGUGAUCUCAGCUCACUGCAACCUCCGCUUUCUGGGUUCAAGCAAUUCUCAUGCCUCAGCCUCCCGAGUAGCUGGGAUUACAGGCACAUGCCACCACGCCCAGCUAAUUUUUGUAAUCUUAGUAGAGAUGGAGUUUCACCAUGUUAGCCAGGCUGGUCUUGAACUCCUGACCUCAAGUAAUCCGCCAGCCUCAGCCUCCCAAAGUGCUGGGAUUACAGGUGUGAGCCACUGUGCUCAGCCAAAAAACUUGCAUUUUAAAGAAAGUUUUCCAGAACUGGGCUUGUUCCAUUCAAUAAGUAGAUUGAGUUACAACUAUGCACUUAGCUUCAUGUGACACUGAAGGGAAUAUGAAGAAGAAAGAAGACAAAUUCUGCUUAUACUCUGAUAGGACGACCUCUGCUAUUUUCCUUCUGAAGCUUUGCAGAGAGCAGUGAAUUGUAAUGAAAGGAGAUUUGGGAGUAAAGACUCCGUGAGGUAUUGAAGUCUCUAGGGGAACCUCAUUAUAGCAUUCCUCUUCCCAGCCUGGAUUCUGAACAAUUUGAGAAAUAAAAAGCAAAUGUGAAGCACACUGAGGCCAAAGUAUCACCUUUAGAACCAGUAAAGAUGAAUUGGAAUUCCAGGCAUGGCAGGCCAAGGCAGACAUCAUCCUUAGAGGCAGAGUCCCUGGAGGGGAAGAGGAAGGAGAUAAAGCUGAAGCAAGCAAGCCAGGGCAAGUCACUUUGACACCCCAGGGACAGAAAGGGACCAGGAGUAUGGUCAGCUGCAACUAGGAACUGGGGAAAGAUGUUCCCGCAUCACUGGUUUUUUCCGCUCCUCAGAUGCGUGACGUUGGAUGAGUCCAUUAAUCCCUCUAUCCAUUAUCAUCUUUUCUAAACCAAAGGAUUUUACUAGAUCAUCUCUGAAAUUUCUUCCAGGUCUACAGUGGUAUGAUUAUAUAAAUUACUAGACCCAUAGUAAAUCAUCUAAGAGCUCAUAUGACCUUAUUUAGAAAGGAAAUUACAAAUCUUUUACACUUGGAUCUGGAAUUGCUUUUGUAAAUGUGAAGCUACUAUGAGUUGAAUUACACUUUUGUUUCAGAGAUUGACUUUAUGAAGAUCCUUAGGAAGUUUUAAAGUUGAAUAAGAUUCUUCUUCUUACCUUUAAUCAUCACUUUUACAUCUCAUUUGUGGAGAAUCAAAAGUCACUGGAAUCAAAAGUCACUGACCCACAAAGUGUCUUCCUCUUGCAAGAUGGGCAAAUGGAUCCACAACAACAUAAAACCCAGCAUCACACUGACGGUUACAGAUCUGUUUCUGCCGGGUUGAGUCUCCUGGCCACCAGAAUCCCAGAGCUCUCACCCAGGCUGAGAUGCAAAAGCCACAAGCACAGUGGGGAGAGAGGAAAAUAAGAGAAGGAGCCCAUGACUUUGAGAUGUGAAAUAAAGGAGAACCAACAAUACUCUGUGCCUACUCAUGAGCACCUCGGUGUACUCCAGAACUUUCAUUUCAAAAAGUUAAAUAGGAACCUUUGUCCAGAGAUUGGCUCAGAUGUUCUCAUUAGAUCUUAGCUUGAAGCCUCUUCUGCCAGUUCCUCCCUGUUUUUAUAGUAAGUCUCAUAAGGCAUGGUCCUGGACCCACAGCCCUGUAUCAUAUGGAAAAAUGAUGCAGGCCGGGCAUGGUGGCUCAUGCCUGUAAUCCCAGCACUUUGGGAAGCCAAGGCGGGUGGAUCAUUUGAGGUCAGGAGUUCAAGACCAGCCUGGCCAACAUGAUGAAACCCCAUCUCUACUAAAAAAAAAUACAAAAAUUAGCCAGGCGUGGUGGCGAACGCCUGUAGUCCCAGCUACUCAGGAGGCUGAGGCAGAAGAAUUGCUUGAACCUGGGAGGCAGAGGUUGCAGUGAGCCGAGAUCAUGCCACUACACUCUAGCCUGGGCGACAGAGCGAGACUCUGUCUCAAAAAUAAAUAAAUAAAAUAAUUAAUUAAAAAUGAUGCGGAACAACAAUGAGUUAUGUUCAACUCAUUGAAAAGUUGUGUUGCCAAGAGUGUGAGUAUGGUUGGAAAGAUUAAUGAAAGGUUUGUGUUUCGGUUUGUGGCUUUGGUCACUGCUUGCCUCUCUGCCUCUUAAGCUGCCCAUUCGAUUCAAAUUAAGCAGUGUUUCUCAGACUGUGCCUGCCAGCAUGCUGUACAUGCAGCUGCUGCCUUCCAUCCAUCACAGCCUAACUUACCCCCGCUCCAAGUUCCAGGUCAGCCUUUCCUGAUUGCAUUCCUUGUCCCUGUCAUGCUUCAAGCUGCCCUCCUUCUGGCUAUUCAUCACCCAGCAAUUGUUGCUGUUAGCUGUCUUUCUCACAUGACCAGUCCUGCAAAGUGUGCCAGACAGGAAUGCCAGUGGGCUGGCUGCAUGCCAGGAUGUUGCCUGGAAUUUGUUAGUGCUCUUAAGCACCAUGGAUAAAUGCCGCUGGUGAAACCUUGUGUGAAGUCAACUUGCAAUAUCUAAGGACAUCUAAGGCCCAGCUCUUUGUCUACGAAGUUAGAAAUCAUCCUUGAGUCUAUGUCUGAGCUGCCAUAUGAACUAGUGCUUAAAUAUAAUACAGGCUCUUGAGUCAGACUACAGGGGCCUUCCAGCAACCUGAGAAGUUACUUUAGCUCUGCUCUGUUUCAUACCUCCAAGAGUCAUUUUGGGGACUGCAUGAGUUAAUGUAUGUAAAGCAUGUAGAACAAUGCCUGUCACAUUAAAAGCCCUAUGAGUGUUUGCUAUUGCUAUUUUUCCACUCACUGCUUAUUGUGCUUAGAUUGACCACUUCAGAUCAUUUAUUUAUUCCUUUAAUCAAUACUUACUGAGUGCCUAUGAUAUUCUGGGCAUUAUGUACAGUGAUCCAUUUGCUUUACGGUAAGCUUUGGCAUGGUCAUCUGGAAAUCCUUUUGCACUCUUGGUUGUACUUAUUAUGGAGGCAGUAAGACCCCAGAGAAGAAACCACUGACCAGUGCUGAUCCUUAGGCAGCCUGUCUUGAGGCUCCCAUGCUCCCAGAACAGCACAGAAAGAACAGAGGCAGACAGGGGUCAGUGAAAGAGACAGUGUGAAUUCAAGCAGAUGUUGGCCCCUUCCCCUAAUCCUCUUCUAUCUGGAACUUUGAGGUAUUUCCACGCAAGGGGGAGGUUGAAGGGAGAAUAGGGACAGAAGAAGGUGGAGGUAUGGAGAAAUCUUGCAAAUGACUAAGCUUAACUUUAUGCCAAUAUGGUAAGAUAAAAGUUCAAAAUGGAAUUAAAUUGAUUUAGAGAAAAUCACUAGGGUAAAGCAUAUAAAAUUGCUGAUAUCUGACAAUUUUUGACAUGCAAAAACAUCAAAUUGAUGUUGUUCAACCUAUAAAAGGUGCAAUAUUUCAUGUACCUCCCAAGUUCGCAGAAAACAUUCAUAGUUGCCACACCUGCUUUAAAUUUUUCACUGUCUUAGAAAAGCUCAAAUAUAAGAAAUCUUCAUCAAGACUUUCUCUCCUUAAAUUGAAAACUAAAGACAAAUUUGGGAACAUGGCUACCUGUGUUAGAAAUUUGAUGAAUGAUAGCUCUGAAGCCUAGAUAACAACUGACAUGUGGAAGUCUUACUUAUUCACCCUAUAAACCAACAUCAACUGAUUAGAUUUCCUUUCUUUAGUCCAAUUUCUAACUGAAUCCCAGUAAUACUCCGUCACAAAAUAGGUUUAUUAAAAAGCUCAGCAAUAUUAGAGCUUUCCAGAAAUUUUCAAGGAUCAAAGUAAAUGGUAGGCUGCAUUCCUGCCAAUUUCUUCAUCCUCACUAAAUGUUUAGGUAUAGUCUCAUCUGGUUGGCUACAGAGAACAGUUACUUUUUUUUUUUCUUGAAACAGUCUCGCUCUGUCACCCAGGCUGGAGUGCAGUGGUGCAAUCUUGGCUCACUGUAAGCUCCCCUUCCCGGGUUCACGCCAUUCUCUUGCCUCAGCCUCCCCAGUAGCUGGGACUACAGGUGCCCACCACCACGCCCAGCUAAUUUUGUUUUUGUAUUUUUAGCAGAGACGGGGUUUCACCGUGUUAGCCAGGAUGGUCUUGAUCUCCUGACCUCGUGAUCUGCCCGCCUCAGCCUCCCAAAGUGCUGGGAUUACAGACAUGAGCCACUGCCCCCAGCCCAGGCACAUUUUUUAAGGGUGACUCUCUGUAUCACCAAGACUAUAGACAGUCCAUCUAAAAUGAAUGCCAAUGCAUGUGUUACACAUCUUAAAAACAAGUGUACCCAAUGUUCAAGCAAAUUCUCCAUCUAGAAAUUUACUUGAAGAAGAUAAUUAAAGACAUACAUAAACAUUUAGGUGCAAUGGUUGUAUCAGUCAGAAAAUAACUAGCACAUUCAAACCAAGAUAAUUAGAGUGGUGUUCAUUCAUAAAGAUGUGGAGGAGUUGUAGAAAAACUGCAAGGGAUAGUGCAGGUGCCCAGGGCUAGCAGCAGCAGCAAAGCUAUUGCCACCCUUAGGCCCAAAAGAAAGGGAUGGGUUCUGAGAACUGGGAAGGAAGUAUUGUAUGGAGGUGGCCACCUUGAGAAGAGUGCUCUUCAGUCGAGGAGUACAGCCAGCUCUAGGAGCCCUCAUAAGGAAAGAACCAGGGGACUGACACUCUGAUCUCGCCCUCCUCCCUCCAAUCUCCUGCUGGGGAGAGGUAUUGCCUGAAGCUGACCGGAAGUCAGAGGGCAAAGGAACCAGUUAAUGUAAUCCCUGAAGAAGAGUAGAGCCGAGAGAAAGAAGGAAAAGGGUAGAAAGUGGAUAUGGAGGAAUGAACAAGAGAGAUCUGGCAUAAAGAUGUUCAUGGAGCACUGUUUAUAAUAACAUAACAUUGGAAAUAAUCCCAAACUAGAAGGAAAUAUAAACAAUUUAAGGUAUAUAUACCAAGUGAAGUGCUAUGCAACCAUUCCAAAUAUUGAUGCAGAAAAGCUCACAAAACUGUAUAAUGUGAUUUACCUUUUCUUAAAAUAGUAUGUAUGUAUAUAGAUAUGUGUUUUUCUAUGUAUUUACAUACAUACACAAUAAAUGCACACACAUUCAUAAGAAAAAAAGACUUAAAGUACGGCCAGGCACGGUGGCUCAUGCCUGUAAUCCCAGAACUUUGGGAGGCCAAGGUGGGCUGAGGUCAGGAGUUUGAGACCAGCCUGACCAACAUGGAGAAACUCCAACUCUACUAAAAAUACAAAAAAUGAGCCAGGCAUGGUGGCGCACAUCCAAAAUCUCAGCUACCGGGGAGGCUGAGGCAGGAGAAUCACUUGAACCUAGGAGGCGGAAGUUGCAGUGAGCUGAGAUGGCGCCACUACAUUCCAGCCUGGGUGACAGAGCAAGACCCUGUCUCAAAAAAAAAAAAAAAAGACUUAAAGCAUAUAAACCAAGAUGUAAAUAGUGGUUAUCACAAGGAGAGUAGGAUUAUAGGUAAUUUUAUCUAUAUAUUUUUUUCUUUUUGAGCAGGAAAAGUUUAAUGUAAAGAAUUAUUGACUGUAACAGGGCAACAGAGAAACAAGGAGUUGGCUAGUUAAAAGUAAACAGAAUGCCAAAGAAUCUGAGAAUGGCAGGUAUGAGCAGCCACAACCCCUACGUCUGAGAUCAAUUACCCAGGAAGAAGCCCUCUCAGAGCUCAGAUCUAGAUGUUGGAGAUGGUACAGCUGUGGUUUAGUAGCUGGCAGGGAAGUUACCAUGCUACUGUGCUGCUGUGCUGCUGUGAUGUUAAAACUUGCUUAAAAUCUGUUCUCUAGGAUGCUAGGGAACACUGUUCACUGGCAGGUGACUCACCAGAGACAUCCUGCUACAAAACCAACUGACAGGUCAGGGUGUUUGAGAAAUGUCUGGCCAUAGGAGCCUUGCCAAGAUGGCACACUGGAACCAGGGAGGAAAACCCAGUCCUUCUGCAAGGUAACUCUGGCUCCCAACUCCAGCUCCCCGUACUGACAAAUCUUAACAUAUGUGCCAGCUGGCAAAGGGAAAAUGUAGAAAGAGAUCAGCUCCAUUUUUGGAGAGCAAGUAAUGAAGGAUGAAUUGGGAGCUGAGAGGCAAUACAUUGAUAACUGGCACACGCUCCAAAUCUUACCACCUAGAGAUACUACUUAUGAACACACACAGUUAUCAAUAUGGUUUUUAACCUGUUAUUUUCCUGCAAUAGCGUGGUGUGGACAGCUUUAUAUGCCAAUAAAUAUGAUCCGCUUCAACAUUUUUCUUUGUCGAGUAGUAUAUAUUCACUUUGUUUUAUAUAGCUGAUUCCCUACUGGUUAAUAUUUAAAUUGACUCCUGUUUUUACUAUUAUAAAUAAUGCUGUACUCAACAUCUUUAAAUGCUUAUUUUAUCAUACUAAAUUAUUAGAAGUUGAAUUGUUGGAACAACUGUUCUAUGUUAAGUUGAUAAGAGUAAAUGCUGGGUGCAUUAUUUAUUUGUUUUAGCAAGAAAGAUAUUUUUUCAUUUUCUGCAUUCCUCAAUAAAGCAUGAAGAUGCUACCUUAGACAUCUGAUAUGGUAUCCAAGUCAAAUAAGGUCAGGUACCAGUGUGGUUCCAAGAAUUUCUCUGAGAGCCAUGUA
rnacentral:lncRNA from 1 species